ensembl:lncRNA
GAGUAAAAAAAGAAACCUUUUCAGUGGUGCUGAUCGGUUCAGCCACAGCGACGUUGAUUUUCGCCUUAGCUCUGUUGCUUUGGGUUUUCCUUCUGACUGCUGAGAGAUUCAAACCAGUUCCUGAGUGUUGUCCGCAGCCUAAAGGCCUGUUGUCUGCAGCCAACCUGCAGUACACACCUCUGUACAGCCACACAGAGAGACAAACAACACCACUAGAAGGUCCCUCACAGAUGGUUUCAGCUGAAGAUCCUUCGAGAGGCCUGAACUCGCUGAGCCAUGACAAUGAAUUUCAUCCUACUUCUAUUGUAAUUAAUGUCACCACCAACAUCAAGCCCUCCAGUCAGAACAAAGAAAACAUCACACAGGAGAAACAGCAAAAGUUCACCACAGAGGAGAUGGAGCAAAAACUGCAGACAAUAUGGGAGAUUGCUCAAGGUCAGAGUAUUGAGAUGCUCGACUACGACUCAGUCCAGGACUUGUCUCUGCUGCUCGACUCUGCUGGCAACGUCGACAUUUUGAGGAGGCUGGGGCGAUCCUUGGGGGUACCACCUCAGGUUAUUGCCCAUCUCCAAGGCUUCCAGGAGCUUUUCCAGUACCUGCGCACCUCCACCUACACGCUGCUGCCCCAGCUGGCCCAGGCUGCAGCGCUCCUGCCUAAUCAUGAAGUCGUUGCUCGGAUACACAGAGCAGUGGUGAACAAGUGACCACUUAGACCCCAGCCGGGUGUUGCCAUGGCUUCAACUGUUAUACAGUAUUUCUGACCCACGUUGUAUUGUGACACCUUCACCUGAUCAAUGAACGAACCUAAUACUUGCUGGUGGGACCCAGAGACAUUGUUUUUACAGGAGUAACUAGAUUUCAGUGAAAUGUGAUAUCAAUAAUGAAUAAAAAAUGACUGACUUUUUGCAAUUUUUCACCCAUUGUUGCACAUAGCAUGAAGAAUUCUCCAUA